AUGACAAGUUUCAAACUAGUAAAGUAUAUCCCUAGGAUAAAGAAGAAGAAAAGUGGGCUAAGGAAACUCGCAAGGAAAGUUCCAACCGAUCGUCUACUUAAGUUCGAGAGAGUUUUCAAAGCACAAAAACGUAUCCCUAUGUCUGUUUUCAAAGCACAAAGAUUUCUUGACGAGAUUCGCUGGCGUUACUACGAGGAAACUGUUAUGAUACUGAACCUCAUGCCCUAUCGAGCAUCUUAUCCCAUCUUAAAGUUGGUUUAUUCGGCAGCCGCAAAUGCUACUCAUUAUAGGGAUUUCUACAAAGCGAAUUUAUUUAUUACUAUGGCAAAGUCAAGUUCAUAG
rnacentral:rRNA from 1 species